ACUCCACAUACGCAUCCUUUGCUGAGGAUACGGUUAACGGAGCGAAAGCGACGUUCAACCUCAAAAGAAGCAGAGGGGGCUUAGUGGUGGGGUGACUGCGUACCUUUUGUAUAAUGGGUCAGCGACUUAUAUUCUGUAGCAAGGUUAACCGUAUAGGGGAGCCGCAGGGAAACCGAGUCUUAACCGGGCGUUAAGUUGCAGGGUAUAGACCCGAAACCCGGUGAUCUAGCCAUGGGCAGGUUGAAGGUUGGGUAACACUAACUGGAGGACCGAACCGACUAAUGUUGAAAAAUUAGCGGAUGACCUGUGGCUGGGGGUGAAAGGCCAAUCAAACCGGGAGAUAGCUGGUUCUCCCCGAAAGCUAUUUAGGUAGCGCCUCGUGAACUCAUCUCCGGGGGUAGAGCACUGUUUCGGCUAGGGGGCCAUCCCGGCUUACCAACCCGAUGCAAACUGCGAAUACCGGAGAAUGUUAUCACGGGAGACACACGGCGGGUGCUAACGUCCGUCGUGAAGAGGGAAACAACCCAGACCGCCAGCUAAGGUCCCAAAGUCAUGGUUAAGUGGGAAACGAUGUGGGAAGGCCCAGACAGCCAGGAUGUUGGCUUAGAAGCAGCCAUCAUUUAAAGAAAGCGUAAUAGCUCACUGGUCGAGUCGGCCUGCGCGGAAGAUGUAACGGGGCUAAACCAUGCACCGAAGCUGCGGCAGCGACACUAUGUGUUGUUGGGUAGGGGAGCGUUCUGUAAGCCUGUGAAGGUGGCCUGUGAGGGUUGCUGGAGGUAUCAGAAGUGCGAAUGCUGACAUAAGUAACGAUAAAGCGGGUGAAAAGCCCGCUCGCCGGAAGACCAAGGGUUCCUGUCCAACGUUAAUCGGGGCAGGGUGAGUCGACCCCUAAGGCGAGGCCGAAAGGCGUAGUCGAUGGGAAACGGGUUAAUAUUCCCGUACUUGGUGUUACUGCGAAGGGGGGACGGAGAAGGCUAUGUUGGCCGGGCGACGGUUGUCCCGGUUUAAGCGUGUAGGUGUGUGUUCCAGGUAAAUCCGGUUCACUUUAACACUGAGGCGUGAUGACGAGGCACUACGGUGCUGAAGCAACAAAUGCCCUGCUUCCAGGAAAAGCCUCUAAGCAUCAGGUAACAUCAAAUCGUACCCCAAACCGACACAGGUGGUCAGGUAGAGAAUACCAAGGCGCUUGAGAGAACUCGGGUGAAGGAACUAGGCAAAAUGGUGCCGUAACUUCGGGAGAAGGCACGCUGACAUGUAGGUGAAGUGAUUUACUCAUGGAGCUGAAGUCAGUCGAAGAUACCAGCUGGCUGCAACUGUUUAUUAAAAACACAGCACUGUGCAAACACGAAAGUGGACGUAUACGGUGUGACGCCUGCCCGGUGCCGGAAGGUUAAUUGAUGGGGUCAGCGCAAGCGAAGCUCCUGAUCGAAGCCCCGGUAAACGGCGGCCGUAACUAUAACGGUCCUAAGGUAGCGAAAUUCCUUGUCGGGUAAGUUCCGACCUGCACGAAUGGCGUAAUGAUGGCCAGGCUGUCUCCACCCGAGACUCAGUGAAAUUGAACUCGCUGUGAAGAUGCAGUGUACCCGCGGCAAGACGGAAAGACCCCGUGAACCUUUACUAUAGCUUGACACUGAACAUUGAGCCUUGAUGUGUAGGAUAGGUGGGAGGCUUUGAAGUGUGGACGCCAGUCUGCAUGGAGCCGACCUUGAAAUACCACCCUUUAAUGUUUGAUGUUCUAACGUGGACCCGUAAUCCGGGUUGCGGACAGUGUCUGGUGGGUAGUUUGACUGGGGCGGUCUCCUCCUAAAGAGUAACGGAGGAGCACGAAGGUUGGCUAAUCCUGGUCGGACAUCAGGAGGUUAGUGCAAUGGCAUAAGCCAGCUUGACUGCGAGCGUGACGGCGCGAGCAGGUGCGAAAGCAGGUCAUAGUGAUCCGGUGGUUCUGAAUGGAAGGGCCAUCGCUCAACGGAUAAAAGGUACUCCGGGGAUAACAGGCUGAUACCGCCCAAGAGUUCAUAUCGACGGCGGUGUUUGGCACCUCGAUGUCGGCUCAUCACAUCCUGGGGCUGAAGUAGGUCCCAAGGGUAUGGCUGUUCGCCAUUUAAAGUGGUACGCGAGCUGGGUUUAGAACGUCGUGAGACAGUUCGGUCCCUAUCUGCCGUGGGCGCUGGAGAACUGAGGGGGGCUGCUCCUAGUACGAGAGGACCGGAGUGGACGCAUCACUGGUGUUCGGGUUGUCAUGCCAAUGGCACUGCCCGGUAGCUAAAUGCGGAAGAGAUAAGUGCUGAAAGCAUCUAAGCACGAAACUUGCCCCGA
rnacentral:rRNA from 1 species